rnacentral:lncRNA from 1 species
ACGGACGUCCUGCGUGUGCUGACGGACGCCCUGUGUGUGCUGACGGACGGCCACGGACGUCCUCUGUGUACUGACGGACGGCCACGGACGUCCUUUGUGUGCUGACGGACGUCCUGUGUGUACUGACGGUCGUCCUGCGUGUGCUGACGGACACACGGACACACACGGACAGCCACGGACGUCCUGCGUGUGCUGACGGACGUCCUGCGUGUGCUGACGGACGUCCUGUGUGCACUGACGGACACACGGACACACACGGACAGCCACGGACGUCCUGCGUGUGCUGACGGACGUCCUGUGUGCACUGACGGACACACGGACACACACGGACAGCCACGGACGUCCUGCGUGUGCUGACGGACGUCCUGCGUGUGCUGACGAACGUCCUGUGUGUGCUGACGGACGUCCUGUGUGCACUGACGGACACACGGACACACACGGACAGCCACGGGAAGGGCC